rnacentral:lncRNA from 1 species
CCCCCUCAUGCUCAAGAUUGGAAGUCUGAUGAUCCGGUGCUGGAGUAGUGCUUCUCCCACCUUGAUUCAUGUUGAUUCUGAGACCCUCUAGGAUAAUCCUCAAGGUUUCAGCUCUAUCAGAAGUGAGAUCUUUCAAAUCAUCUUGAAUCUGUUCCUCAUAGUAUCCUUUUUCUUCAACAAACUUCACUUCUCUAGAUACUAACACUCUCCUUGUGUUAGGAUCAUAGCAUUUGUAUCCUUU